CCAAACUGAUGGUCGCGGCGUCAAUGUCGUCGUCGCCGCAAGUAAUUUUUUUUUCCUAUUUUUAUCCUUUACCGGACAGUCAAAAUUGAUAAUCUUUGAUCCGAAUAUAUUCAAGCACCGGUCGGCAACACCAUAUCGGCUUCCUCGAAGGUUUACAUGGCGAUGGCGAUCGAUCAACGAUAAUAGGAAACAGAAAAGUUCCCGAACCAUCGGCGGAGAGAACCAUCUCUGCUCGUAUAGCUGACAAUUGCUGAUCACAAACGGGACAAUAUGUUGUUUAGUGCACCUGGUGCCAUGGCGAUCAACGAUUAUAGAAAACAAUAGUUCCCGAACCAUCGGCGGAGAGAACCAUCUCUGCUCAGAUAGCUGACGAUUUCUGACCAUAAACGGCACAAUACGUUGAUUCGGUAUCGAUCAAUCCUACAGCACUCGCUUUGGUUUUGUCAUUGGGCACUCAACACAUCAAUGGAUCGCAAUACCGGCUGUUAGUAAAAGCUCCAAUGGAUUACAUUCCCGGACAACUCUAAUGAGGAGAGCUACGAUGUUCAUUCCAUUUUGCAUGUUGCCUCGUCUUGUUUCCGAUCGCCAGCCGCGAUGGUGACCAGGAAAACAGACCAAAUUAACUGGUAAAUGAGAGAGGAAAGUACAGACCACGAAUCCGUUGAAAAUACAGGAAACGCAAGGGAGAAAUAGCAUGUGGGCGCUAAAGGGAUGCUGAUUUCUUUUCAAACCAAAUCCACCUUUUGCCUCCGAUGUUGCUGUUGUUAUCCCUCUCAUUCGCUGUCUGUCCAGGUGCUACGAUUCCUGCUCGAAGCGAAAUCCAUUCAUUCGCUGCUUUCCGAUCCUGCUGCUGUAAUAUUCAGACCAAAUAUUUUUAUUCAACUGAACAAUAAGCAUGCUGCGGAAAACCGUUUGUUUCACCAAGCUGAUCAGCUAUCAUAUACCAUAAAGAAAGCUUUAUUGGACAACAACCAUUCUGGAUUUGACGGGUCCAGAGCUUCCCCAGAAGCAACUGCAAACGAUAGAUAAUGAAAGAGGUUAGCAGGCCAUUGGAGGAACAAUCUUUAGAGGAGCCGUCGACAUAUCGCGAGAGAGAACGUGAACAUUUGCGCGAAUCGGACUGAAAACAAAGGCUGCUACUUUUUCGUACCGAGGGCAGAUUUUACUAUGGGAUGUUAAAGUAGCGUCUGAACCGAAGAUCUUGAUUUAAUGAAUACAUUUUUAGGUCUUUGCACUUGUGGUGAUGACGGAACGGAUUUUUUACCGUACUUCUAGCCAAGCUUCCAGCAUCCUAAUAGAUCAAGUUUUGAGAUUAUAGAUCCCUACACGGCUACUGCGGAGCAGGCUAGCAGGUGACCUGGUUAACUAGCAGGUGCUGCGGUUAACGCUUACUGACCCCAAGCUGCUGCUGAUCAUCCAGCCGUCGCCAGUUCUGGUAUCGUCAAUCGGGUGAUUUUAAUCUUUCGGCAACCAAAGCCCAACGUCCAACAACGAAUACACAGGUUGAUAAAAGCUGUACAUAGUAAAUAUAUUAAUGUUUUAAAAUUUGAUUAAGAAGGCAGGCCAAAAAGCUGCCAGCUGAUAAUAAAUAUAA